UACGCAUCGGCCACCCUCUUACGCACUGGCCACCCUUGCUUUCUCCCGCUUUACCCGCGCCCGCCCUCCGCUCCGGCCGCCUUGCCGUCCUUCCCGUCGUCGACGUGUUCGGCGAGGGCUAUAGUUUCCCCCUCUCGCGCGCCAACUUCAUUGGCAUUUGGUACCCUCUUGAAGGACCUCGUCUUCUUCUAUGCUCUCCUCGGCGCCUAGCGGUCACCCACCAGCUCUUCGACGCUAUGCCCUGCCGGUAGCCUUUCCUUCGCCAGGGCCGUCGUCGACCAGAAUGCCGUUUCGUGGACGCAUAUGGUAGUCGUGUACUGCAAGGCCGGUGCCGUCGUUUCUGCUAGGUAACUGUUCGACAGACUGCCUGAGAAGAACCUGGUUUUGUUGACCACUAAAGUUAACGAGGGAUGACUAAAGAGGCGCUUGCGCGAGUUGAAAUGGCAGAAGAUAGAGCCAGACGCAGCCACUGUGGUCUGCAUCAUCUCCGCCUCGGUUCAGCUGCGAAUUGUGGAGCUGCUGAUCUGAGUUGGAUCGUAUGUCAAUAGCAAGAAGAACGAGAGGAACGAGCACGAUGCACUUGUGGACAUGCAUGCCAAGUGAGGCAACAUCGAGAAAGCUUUGUGCACAUUCGAAGAGAUUCCGUGGACUCAAAAUGAUGGCGCUCGACAUCUUUGACAUACUGCGAAGGGAGAUGAUGAUGCCAGAUUGCAUCACAUUUGUCAGGAGUUCUGGGAAAGCAUUGUUUGCAGCUAUGGCAUGGAGCAGAGAGCCGACCGCAUUUCUUGCAUCACGGACAUGCUUGGAUGGGCAAGGUGGCUUAAGGAAGCACAUAAGAUAAUUCAGAGCUCCACAUAUUUGACACAAUGCACUGGGAGGUGAUCAAGCCAGUCUGUAUCAUGUUUGUCAGCACGCAGAGUGCCUGAAGCCAUUCAAAGCUUGUCACACAAAGGGUUGGAAUUCUGUGAUUCCUUUUCUGCAUGGAUGUGCUGGGAGGCAUAGAGAAGCACAUAAGAUGGUUCAGAGUAUUCUAGUGUGGCCUCAUCCAGGAGCGCUAGUGGGCAUUGCUUGCAGCUUGGAGGACUUGUGCCAAUACUGAGAUUGCAGAGAACUGUUGAAGGUGGAACCAAGAACUAGGGAAACUGUAUGCUUCUUACAAUGAUAACAUUGCAAGAAUUAGAGCGAUGAUAAGAGAGAAAUUUCAACGAACUUCCAGGCUUGAGUUGGAUUUACAUUUAGCAGAGCUGCUGUAGAUUUCAGAAUAAGGUGUUGACAUGCAUCAAAUGCAGGACUGAUUAAUUUGUUGCCUUCUUUUCUGGUUAGUCUUACAACAAGAUGAUUGGUUGGUUAAGGCAAAGAGCAUUGAUGAUUUGAGCUGCCAGGGCAUACCUUGGUGUUAGAGUACUUUGAUUGUGCUUUUUUUUAAUGCAACAAGCAUCAACCAGCUGGGUGGCUAUCCAGCUAUCAAAAUUUAUAUCAGACGAUCUAAGUGGGCAACCAGCAAGGAACUGCAGUUGUGGGGCAUAUCAAGAAUUGUGUCUCAUGGAGUAUGGGAUGUUGCACCAUGGACUUCAGUUGCCAUGUAGACGUCUAUCUGAGGAUUGAUAUUUUUGCUAGAGGGUAACCUUUUUGACAGCUCAACAUUUUCUCGCCUUCUAAGCAUCAAACAUGAGGAAGUACUGUAGGGUUUAAUGUUGCCAAGAGGAGCAAUGAAAACAGAAGGAAGGAAGGAUAUCUCCAUUUAUAACCAGUGUUAAGCAUAGAGUUAUGUCUUUGGACUUGAUUGUUCUCUCUCUCUCUCUCUCUCUCUCUCUCUAUUAUCGCUACUCGUGCUACUGCUUCUGAAGCCAUUUCACCUCUGUGACAGUUAUCUCCCCCAAGUGGAGUCUAAUGAUGCCAAGUGAUGCUACAAGAUGUAAUCAAAAGAAGGGUGAAUCUUCCCAUUUAUAAUUAGGAUUAAGCAACAGAGUUUUAGCUUCCCACAAGAUUGUCCUCUAUCCUUCUUAUACUUCGUCGUCAUUGUUAAUUUUGCUAUUGUUACCCUUCUUGCUUGUUACUUUCUUCUAAAGCUUUUGUUGUACGAUCUUCGUUAUUAUCAUCAUGAUGUAUUGUUACCCUUCUUGCUUGUUACUUUCUUCUGAAGCUUUUGUUGUACGAUCUUCGUUAUUAUCAUCAUGAU